UACGUAGGUGGCAAGCGUUGUCCGGAUUUAUUGGGUUUAAAGGGUGCGUAGGCGGCCCUAUAAGUCAGUGCUGAAAUAUCCCGGCUUAACCGGGAGGGUGGCAUUGAUACUGUAGGGCUUGGGUAAAGUUGAGGUUGGCGGAAUUGACGGUGUAGCGGUGAAAUGCUUAGAUAUCGUCAAGAACACCUAUUGCGAAGGCAGCUAACUAAGCUUUAACUGACGCUGAGGCACGAAAGUGUGGGGAUCAAACAGG
rnacentral:rRNA from 1 species